UAGAAGUGGAACAAGUGUUUCAAGUUGAUUUAUGCAAUCCAAGAUACAAACCCACACUAUGUCUACGGAGCCUCUAAUGGAUACAAAAGAGUAAUAUGAUGGUGUCGUUAACAAAGCUCCGGCUAUAUCUCAAAACCCUGUACAUAAGGAGCAAAAGGUUCAAGAUCCCGAUAUGAAAUCGGGCUCACCAAGUCAGCUGAGAAGAGGGUGUACCGCUAUCGCUGAUGGAUGCCGCAUGUUGUGGAACCACCUACAUCCAUUAAAGAUGCAGCGCCCCCGGCAAAAAAGGACGUUAGUACAUAUGGAAGAGUACUACUAUGUAAGACUAAAUACCCUUUCAAUGAAUCAAGAAACAAUACCAGGAGAAAGAAACAUUCAAUCAAAGAGGGCCUCAAAUAAUAUUAAAGCAUCAAGUUAAGAGAAAUAUAAUUUUCCAAGUAAAUAUCAUUAUUUUUAAGUCGGGAGAUCUUUAGCACCGAUAUGGCACAGUAUUUUUUUUUGCAUGUAGUCCGAUCACGGCUCGAUCGGCUAAGCCGUCUCACCCAAAGACAUCCAAUCACAAUAUCAUUGUGCUAUUUAGCACAGAGUUCGAUCUCAGCCCGAUCGGUUAAGCCGUCUCACCACAAGACAUCCAACUACAAUACCACAAUGUACGCAGCAUGGCAUCCGAUCUCGACCCGAUCGGCUAGGUUGUCUCCCCAUAUGUGUCGUGUGAGUCGACAUCCAAUCCAAGGUUAGCAACAAUCUCAUCCCAAUCAAGGGAAAUAAUUUCAUCACAUUAAUAUGGGUAUUUACCUCUCAAUCACACCUACACCGGCACGUGUAGUUUCAGGGUUAGGUUGUUUCAACCUACCCUUCCUCGGCGACUAAUGAUACUCCCAAAUCAUUUAUUAUAUAAAGAACUUACAGCUAAUUUCAUAAUCUCUCCCACAUUCUUUUCAUUUUAUUUGCACUAUUAGCCACAAGUGUAAUUUCUAUUUUUGGCACGAUGGCCAUAUUUUAUAUCUCAUAGAUUAUCAAUAAUAAGGGCAUUUGUAAUCAAUACUUUAAACAUGUAUAUGAGCAAUAGAAGUCUUAAACACACUGAGUUUUCCUUCCAAGAAUAAGGCAUAAUAAAUCUUGCAUUUGAAACAUGGAUUGAAGUCAUAGCAUUACGAUGCAUAAACCAUACUUGAAUACAUUUCUGAAGGAGAGCAUAAUACGAUAGGAGUAAUUGAAACACAUUUUGAGCACAUAUUUCUCGACACAAUGCUUAUCUGGAAUAACUGAGUGUCUUAGGAAUAACUCGAAAUAAGAGGAGUAGGGACUUGGACAAGUCACGCUUGAAACUUACAAGAACAUCAUGGAAUUCGAUUCUAUGAGAGAAGUUUAGUCAACAUACCUUGCUUGAUCUUUCCUUAAUUUACUACGAGGUUCCAGAAAUCCUAGAGACUUCAAUAUAUUAGAUAUAUGACAAAGCUGAACCAUAAUCAGGAAGUGGUUUUAAGAGUUCAACCCUUUUAGACAUUUUAUUAAACACUAGGUGUGCAAUAUGAUUUCAAGGUUCUUUUAUGGUGGACUUCCUUCAUCCCACAAUCCAAUGUUCACCCAUUUGAGUUCAACAACCUCCCCACAACCUUUGCUGGUAUAUGCAAGCAAAAGGGACAACUCCCACACCCAAGAAUCACACUUCUCAUUACCUACUUUCAGUCCUAAUCCCGAAAUUGAGGGCUAGGGAGUAGAAUCUUACCUCUUAGAUGAAGACGUUGUGAGUUUUCCUUAUUGAAUUUCAAGGCUUGAGCAAGGAUUUGAUGUAUGGAGAUGUUAGUGCCCUUCCUUCUCUCUCUAGCUCCCUUUCCCUCUCUCUAAACGCCAUAUUUUUGCCAUCUAAACGAGCCCCAAUAGCAUUUAAUCAAAAUGGGUCGGUUUAUAAAAAUAAAAAAUGGACCUCCGAACUCAACUCUGCGGUCAUAGAAUGCACCGCAGAUCAGGUCUGCGGCCCACAAAAUGGACCGGAGAAAGGGUCCCAAAAACUAGGCUGGCCUGCACAAGUCUGCGGGCUUUCUGCAGCCCAUAAAACAGUUAUGUGGUCGCAUAAUGUAUCGCAGAAUUUUUCUUCCAAAAUUUCUCAUGCUAGAUAUGUGAUAAAUGUGCAACCCGCGAAAUGAUUCUGCGGCCGCAUAACUGACCGCAAAAUAUCCUUCAAAAUUUGGCUCUGGUUCUGUUGCAUUAUGCGGCCGAUCUGCGGUCUGCGAAGUGAUUCUGCGAUCGCAUAAUGGACCGCAUAAAUGACAUGUUCAGCAAAACUUCUUCUUCCAACUUCCCAAUGCAUUGCAUCACCCAAAAAGUCCAUACAUUAGCCUCAAACACAUUAGCCUACCUCGGCAACACAAAACCUCGAGUUAUGGGUAAACCUUUAUGGCUCUUACUGUUUGUUAGGUAGAAAUAUUGUAUGCCCUAUUUAUAGUUGCAUUCAAGCCACUUAGGGUUUCGAUUGAGUUUGAACAGAUAGUGGAGAGUGAUAAUAAAAUGGAUGACGAUAGUAAGAAAGUGAAAUCAGAGGGAAAAGAGGGGAAAACAGUAUAAGUUUUACCUGAGUACUAGGAGGUUGAUCGUUGAAGCUUUUGGUCUAUUGUUCAAGCCCUAAUGUCCAGAGGUCAUUGCGUUUGACCUCUAGACAACGAAUAAUGAUGAUGAAGGGGGAUAAUAACAAUGCAUGCUCCGAUUCGAAGAAACAAAGGAAGGACAGAUGAAAUUCCAGGUUUCACCUCUAUGUCUAAGUCUUCUGGGUUAGAGAUUCAAAUUAGGGUAAUGAAAGGGAAAGUUUAUGUAGGAUUUGUGGUUAAGCAGGGACAGAAAGGAUGAUUAGGGUUCAGGGGUGGUCUCUGAAUUAAAAGUGGGAGAUGGAAUCUGGGUCGUUGGGUCGUUUGAGCAAUGACCCUGAUAAUUCAAGGCAUAAGAAUUUAAUGAAAUAUUUUUAUUAUAAAAAGAGACGGUCGUUGGAUCCCUAUAAUCAACGACCGAGAUGAGGUCUCAGCAAAAUUAAGGAAAAGAGAAAAAUAGAGAUUAACCACGGACCGUUGAUGAGUUCAAUCAACGGUCCGAAUCUAUUUGUGUUUUCUCUGUGAGCGAGGAAGACGGGUGAUGUGGCAUGCUUUGAUUGGCUUAGAGAGAUUGGCAUGAAUAUUCAUCUUGGAUAGAGGGGGUUGGUUCCGGACUGAUACUGGUCUUGUAUUUUAGGCUAAAUUAGCUGAAAUAAAAUGUAAUUCAUAGCCACAUUGAAUUUAGUUAAUUAAUUACAAUUAUAGCCUUUUUAGUUUUUAACCCCUUUAAAGAUUAAGUUAAUUAGACUUAAUUAAUUCUAAUUGAAUAUAAUAAAAUAUAAUCAUCAAAUAUAUUAUAAAUUAUUGUGAGUAAUUAUUUAAACACCUCAUUUAUCAAAUUAUGACACUAAUUUUUUUAUUAAUUUGAGUAAUAAAGCGAUAUGAUUAUAAAGGGAGGAUAAAAUAAUUGCGAGUAUCAUCAUUGCAAGUAUCAUCCUUUUCCCCGAUUGCCCUGGGUUGUCGGGUAUUGCUAGAGCAUUUUUGGUCGGGUCUUCGAUUGCAGACAUCUUUCCCUUGGAUCUCAGAUUGUACGGUGGCUUAGCCAGUUUUACGUAUCAACACAAACAAACCUCUGAUUUUAGGAAUAAAAUUAAAUAAUAAAGCGAGAAAAUAAGGAAAAGUAGAAGUUAGUUUCAGAGAUUGCACAAAUAUAAGCACAUAGAGCAAUUAAUUCAAGUAUUUAGAUAAGCGUGUCUCCUAAGAUACGACAAACCUCUCUUUGCCAGAGGUAAACCAAUGUCGCGAAUGUUUGAUGAACAAUCAGAUUCUGACACAUUUUGAUCCGGAGCAACCUUUAGUUUUUAUUGAUAGGCUUUGGAUUACAGUAAGACGGGAGUCGUGGUUACAACAUUAUUUUCAAAGUUAACAAAGAUUACAUGGGUUCAUAGGUUUGCCCUUAGGGAAAUGAAAAAAAGGGUACAAGAUAAAGGGAAAUAACCCAGCAACUUAAUAAUUGUCCCCGGAGUCACUUCCCAAGAUUUCUUCUUCAGAUUCCUCUUCAGGGUCUUCUUCAACUUCCUCUUCCUCCUCGUCAUUGUUGUACUCUGGUUCCUCCUCAGGAUCCACCUCUGGCUCUAUUUUUUUACUCAAUCCAUAUGUAUUCAAUUACUUGCUUAAUCCUCCAGUCUGGUCAAUACCUCUCUGCUAGGUCUGGCCAACUAAUCCUUCUCUUGAUACACACGAAAUACUCAGGUGUGCACCAGAGAUUUUGCCCUAUUGGAAUCAUGAUCAUGUCGUUCCAUUCAUAAUGGAGCCUCCUCACCCUCGGGAUUGGAAUUUGUCGGUUGUAAUCAUCUUCAUAAAAAGUUUUCCUUAACCAGCGGGGCACGUAUUGAAUUAGAAAAAAUUGCCUUAGAAUCCUCAGAGGUAAGUACAGCUAAAUUUCUUCAAGUCCCACUAACUCGAUGAAGUACUUUCUCUGGCUUCUCAAGAUUGCCCUGCCACUUAACCAUGAAUAUUUCCAAUUCACGAACUAUCCGCUCAGACGGGUCAGUAUCUCUUGCCACUCCUCUUGCCCAUGCGGUGUAACCAGUGUCUCAUCCUUUUGUUAUGGCUCUUGAUCAUGUUACUGGGGCCAACAAAAUAUUCGACGGUUGUCUCCAUCUAAAAGAAAUAUUUUGUGGCCCACAUCUGGAGUAGUAAGUUACAGCCUUUGAAAAAAUAAUAUCCUCUAGAGCAUGCUGACAGUGCUCGAAAUGUCUCUGCCAAUAUCAUAUGAAUGAGGGUUACUUGCAGAUUCCCUCGAAAGUUUGCCAAGACUAGGGGCAGCAAGUUCACGUUGAUUCGCCCUUUUCUUUGCGGGAAAACUAGCAAUCCCAAUAUUGCUAGAGAAAAGGUUAGAGGGUGGAGGCUCUCCCAUGCUGCUUGAUCACAUUGGAAUUUUUUAAGAUGCCACUCAUAGCUCUCUCGGUGUCCGAACCUGUCGAAUAGUUGGUCCAUACUCACCCAUCGAUCUUUGAUGUUUCUUAGAUUCUUAUUGUUUGUCAGACCCAAUGCAUGGAGGAACCUGUGAUCAGGCAUGGCAACUGGCAGUAUUGGUUUUUGUCCGGCAAAUGAUAACUCCGUGAAGCUAGUGAUCUCCUCCAGUGUUGGUACCAACUCCUAAUCGACAAACUUGAAAACAACCAUAGAUGGGUCCGAAAAAUGUAUUAGCAGUCUAGUAAGGACUUUGUCAGCUCGGAUGUUCAUCAAGGUGGUUAGUUUUCCCAGGUGUGUUCUAAUCUCGUCCAUGUGCUCCCAUCGAAUGUUUCUCUACUACUGCUUCAGCUUGUGUGGUGCACCCAUGACCAUGUUAAUCUCCGGGACAUUGCGGUUGAUUUCUAUCUAAAGAGGUGAAAACUUUUGGUAAGUGUUUGCUUCGGAUCUUUAGCGUCUUAUCUGAAUUGGUUCAUCGUUUUACAAAAGACAUGUCGUUGGGUACAUGAAUCGUUGACAUUACUGUAGCUUUCAUAAUCGUGAGUCAAUACUAAGGAUCAACUUAUCUAAAGUUUAUGCAGCAUGACCUACGUUUGCUAGAGUAGAGUGUUUCCUAAUUUUAAUGUUGGACUGAAUAACUGCGAGAUAUUAUGUCAGUUGACUUGACAAAUCCGUUCUCUGAAAGUAGAAAAUUUUAAAAGAAAGUUGGGAGGGGUGUAAAAGGCAACCCUCGCGUGUCAUUUGUGUGUGAUUGUGUAUGGCCAAGACUCAAUAGGAAAAAUAUAAUGAUAGUGUAUAAAGCAGUAACAAAUAAUGGUGAUAGCAACAAUAGGCAAGUAAGUACAUGUUUGACAGGUCAUAGAAAUACAAACAAGUAAGACAAGUAAACACAUAUUUUUCAAAAUUAAGCACAGUAAAAGAAUAAUAUAAACAAACAUCCCCAAAUUUCGGGUCUAGCCUAAAUCUGCUAAGGUUAUAACCUAAGUGUAAAGAUCCCCAUCAGCGUCGUCAUGUUAUUGCACCUUAUUUUGCACACGUCUAAACAAAGUAUAACUAGUGGUUCUUCUGAUAUUGAUAAAAGAGAGUUCCCACCUAAUAUUUAAGAUAUAUUAGGAUACUUAUAUUUUUGUAAGAUUAUUAUCCUAAUGGUCUGCUAACCGGUGAGAUUUGGGUUCGGGUUCUAGUUAUUCUAAAGGGAAGGUGUUAGGCAUCCCUUUAAAUCUACCUGAGGUCGCUCCUUAAACUUUGGCUAGGUUCGAGGAAAGAAAUACCUUUAUUCUAGUUAAUUAAUGGCUAAAGUUACAAAGUAAGAUUUAUAAAAACAUCUAAGUCUUCUUUGAAAACGCAUUGUAUUGAAAAAGGUUAUGUAUUUCUUUUGAAAAGAAUGACAUUCGUUCGUGAGACUUAAUGAAUAAGAGAUUACUAAAAUAUGCUUUAAUUGAAAACAAUUAUACCUCAUCUUGUUGAAAUGCCAUAUGUUUCAAGCUUAUUUGUAAGAAUGGUUGUGCGUGGUUGCUUUUAUUAUUUUUUAGAGCAAUGGUUGUGUUUUACGUGACCCGUAUGAUGAUAUUCCAAAACAUAAUUGGUUAUCGUUUUGAACCUGCAAUAACUGAAAUUGUUAGUGGAAAAACAUAAGUAAACGAUUUAUUCAUUGAAAGAUUAGUUUAAAUUAUUAAAGCUCAAAUGUAUUAGAGUAAUGAAAAAAAAGGCAAGUCUAUAAUCCUAUGUCGUCUUUUUUACCUGUAAGACUUGGUUGGCCUACGUCUCCUAAACAAUCAAAACAUCAAACAAUAUUCAAUAGCAAUGUUAGCUUCAAAAUAUAUACAAAGAAUAACUGAAAAAGAUAAUAUUUACCAUUUAAAAAUGUGAGAGGGAGGAAAGGGCUGGACUCUUAAUAUUGUGCAAAUGGAUAGUCAGGCCCUGAAGAUUUUCACACGAGUAGCAGACUCCAGGAAAAGCAACCAAGGCUGGAGCUUGGGCUUAAGUUUAAAGAACUCAGAAGUCCUAGUUCAAAUAUGCACACGAAUGAAAUAAGAAGAUAAUUUUUGGAAAUCAAUAUAAUGCAUAACAAUAAUAAAUCACGAGUGAUAAUAAAGCUACAGAAUAUAUUAAAUCCAAUCUCAUUUGUGUUAAUCCUAUGAGGAUUAAAAAGAGUCAAUGAACAAAGGCUUAGAUUAAAACCUUAUUCAUGGAUAAAAUCCCCCUUUGGACCCUUGGUACUUUAGAGUUCAUAACGGUCUCAUAGACCCCGAGUAGUGCUUGUGUCAGGGAAGGGUAUCUUAACCACAUACCAGGUUUCACACCCAAAUACCCUUAACCGCCCACGCUUACUCUUUCUCAAAUGUUUAGACAUAAAUGAGGUGUCAACUUAGUAGUUAACAUGGAAGCAUCAGUGGACACAAAGAUUCAGGAACACAGAACAUCAACAAAAACUAUAGAGAAUAUCAUCACUAGAUUGCAAGCAUUUGCAAAGUUCAGAACUAAUCACAAUAUUGACUUUAGGAUCUUUUAUCAGAACCCUAAAUAAAAAGGCAAGUUACUGCAAGUAGACUUAUAUGGUCCAGUAAUAUCAAUGACCUUAAGGUUGAUUAUAGCAUGCAUCAAGACACUUAGGAAGGUUAUCACUCAUAUAUAAAAAUAAAGAGAGUUAGUGGUAAAUGAAUUGGUAAUUGAUAGGGAAAGACAUAUGUAUUAGUUUUAUUAGUUCUACUGAGGGUUCAACAUUUUAGGAUCCUUAACUAGGUUUAUAGCACUUCAACUAAAAUUUCAGUAAUCUCUAGAACAGUGUAAGGUAAGCAUAUACAUGGACGAGACCUUACUUCACCAAACACCUGUACUGACAGCCUUGUUCAGGCUUCCCAAAGAUAACAACAACCAGCAGAGAUAAUAAUGUAAGUGGGAAGGUCAUUUUUAGUCUAGUUCAAACCUACUAGCAUGAUAUCUAGUCGUAGUUUGUCAUGUUUCCAAACAAUUUCAGAUUCUUGAGUAAAUUCUUAUAGACAAGGAUAUCAAUCAAAUAUGAGACAGUGGAUGGGGAUAUUCAUUCUCAGUGGGUGAGAGAAGACAAACAUGUCUUGGUGAAUUUACUUAAACAUGUGAGUGACCAGGUUACACUAGUAAACAUCCCAUUUUAGAUCCUAUGUUCAACAUUGUUCACUCAAGUUGCUAAAUUAUUAAGGCAGACAUGAUUCAAACUAUCAAGAGAAGAUUUCAGCAAAGGACAUAGUAAAUUCAGCAUGAAACUUUCUCAACUAAAGAGCAGGUAAAGGUUCAUGGGCAUUACUAGACUAGCAGAAGUAUGAUGAACAUAAGCACGUGCAUGUAGGUAAAUAAGAUUCAGUCAGCCAACAUACAAUAUGGUUUCUAUAGAGUUUCAUGGUCAUAAAAUAAUCACAGAUCAAGUGAGCAGAUGAUGUGAUGACUGCAUUGAUAUGUUAAUCAUAUGAGUUCAAACUAUAAUAAUAGACUUGCAUGAACUCUUAAGUGCACAUAACAAACAUAGUUUCAACAAGAAAAAUAUUCAAUUAAGGUCAUCAAAGCAAAAUAAUUAAAUGAAUGUCAUGAACUGUGAUGAUAAUCAUUUUUAUUGAAUCAAAAUCCGGUGGCAUAAUAUUACAAAUGUAAGGAUCAAUAUUGCUCAGUGCAGCAAACAGGACAUUAGGAGAGGGUUAAGAGCAUAGCUCAAUUAGGUUAGCGAAACAUGAUAGUAUAGCUAUCAUUUAACUGAUAGAGGUAGAGCAUACAUAGGAUUAACAUAAGGCUUAGUUCAACCAAUCAUAAAAGGUUCAACAUGAUUUGCUCAGAAGAGUAUCAACAUCAUUAAAACAUUUUAUUUGGCUAAGUUUUGGGAGAUAGAAUAUCAUUAACAACAUGGUUUAGAUAGCAGUAUCCGAACAUCAUAAUUUAUCAGGAAAUUACCAACUCGACUAUGAAAAUGGCAUACAACAAAAAUAAUAUAACAAGUAUAGUCAUGUACAACUGAUGUAUAUCGUAAAAAAAAGGUGAUUAACAGGAAAACAUCAUAAAAUUUUACAAUUAAAAGAUAGAGACAAUGUCAUUAUACACUGACCUUCUACAGAGCAGCAAACCAAGAAAGAGUUGAUUCUUAGCAAUUUAGAGUCCAAACCAAAUACGAAUUAUGUACAGAAAUGGAACUCGAGCAAAAAUGAAAAGAUGAAAAGAUAAAUUAGUGAGAAGCUACUGGAACUUAAUAAUUAGAAGAAAAACUUAAACUUUUUAAUUCUUUCAAUGUGUUUGCUGGUGAUGUUAAGUGUAUUGGUGUCUUGAAUACCCUAUUUAUAGUGGCAUCCAAGCAACUUAGGGUUUCAAUUGAGUUCGAACGGAUAGUGAAGAGUGACGAUAGGAUGGAUGACGAUACUAAGCAAGUGAAAUCAGAGGGUAAAGGGGGGAAAAUAGUAUAAGUUUUACCUGAGCACGAGGAGGUCGACAAUUAAAGCUUUUGGUCCAUCAGUCAUGCCUUAAUGUCUAGAGGUCGCUGCGUUUGACCUCUGGACAAUGAAUAAUGAAGCUGAAGCUGAAGAUAAUAACCAGGCAUGCUCUAAUUCGACGAAACAAAGGAAGGAUAUAUGAAUUCCCAGGCUUCACCUUUAGGUCUAGGGCUUCUGGGUUAGAGAUUCAAAUUAGGGUAACGAAAGGGGAAAGUUCAGGUGGGAUUCACGGUUCAGUAGGGACAAAAAUGAUGAUUUGAGGUCGGAUUUGUGAUCUUGCACAAAUUUGUGCCAGUUUUUAGGACUGAUAGGGGUGAUGGGAAUGAGAUAAAGGAGACAAGAAAGGGAAAUUAGGGUGGCCG
rnacentral:lncRNA from 1 species